rnacentral:misc_RNA from 1 species
GGGGAAAUAGUGAAUUUCAAGGUUGCUAAUUGCAGUCUAUUUCUUUUUGCUAGUCUGUGAUUUAUAUAACAUAUUUCUGAUGCACUUCAGAAUCUUCUUGUCUUUUUCCAUUGAGAAACUUGUUUAUUUGCUUGCUUCUUUUAAAAUCCUGUUAUUUCAAGGCAUGUGGAUCAACAAAAUGAAGAAUAUGGGGCCAAAUAAUGAGAAAGAUGGUAUUUCACUUUCCAAAGAAACUAUAGCUGAUUCCUCUCUCUCUCUCUAUGUGCUCCCUCUCAUCUCAAAGCUAAAACUGAUCCAAGAUAAUACUUAGUGUUUUUUUAUUAUUCUUUUUUAACUUGAGCUCAUGAUUGUUAUGUAUGUUUGUGCUCUCCUCCUCCUCUAAUCUACUUUUGGAAUAAUGAAUACGAUGUUCAUGGCAGGUUUGUAAGAAUGGUUCAUUCC